rnacentral:rRNA from 1 species
AUUGAACGCUGGCGGCAGGCCUAACACAUGCAAGUCGAACGGUAGCACAGAGAGCUUGCUCUCGGGUGACGAGUGGCGGACGGGUGAGUAAUGUCUGGGAAACUGCCCGAUGGAGGGGGAUAACUACUGGAAACGGUAGCUAAUACCGCAUAACGUCGCAAGACCAAAGUGGGGGACCUUCGGGCCUCACACCAUCGGAUGUGCCCAGAUGGGAUUAGCUAGUAGGUGGGGUAAUGGCUCACCUAGGCGACGAUCCCUAGCUGGUCUGAGAGGAUGACCAGCCACACUGGAACUGAGACACGGUCCAGACUCCUGCGGGAGGCAGCAGUGGGGAAUAUAGCACAAUGGGCGCAAGCCUGAUGCAGCCAUGCCGCGUGUAUGAAGAAGGCCUUCGGGUUGUAAAGUACUUUCAGCGGGGAGGAAGGCGGUGAAGUUAAUAGCUUCACCGAUUGACGUUACCCGCAGAAGAAGCACCGGCUAACUCCGUGCCAGCCGCCGCAGUAA